rnacentral:rRNA from 1 species
GGUGAACGCUGGCGGCGUGCCUAAGACAUGCAAGUCGAGCGGGGCAGGUUUAUACCUGUUCAGCGGCGGACGGGUGAGUAACGCGUGGGUGACCUACCCGGAAGAGGCGGACAACCUGGGGAAACCUAGGCUAAUCCGCCAUGUGGUCCUGUCCUGUGGGGCAGGACUAAAGGGUGGAUAGCCCGCUUCCGGAUGGGCCCGCGUCCCAUCAGCUAGUUGGUGGGGUAAAGGCCCACCAAGGCGACGACGGGUAGCCGGUCUGAGAGGAUGGCCGGCCACAGGGGCACUGAGACACGGGCCCCACUCCUACGGGGGGCAGCAGUUAGGAAUCUUCCGCAAUGGGCGCAAGCCUGACGGAGCGACGCCGCUUGGAGGAGGAAGCCCUUCGGGGUGUAAACUCCUGAACUGGGGGCGAAAGCCCCGUGUAGGGGGAUGACGGUACCCAGGUAAUAGCGCCGGCCAACUCCGUG